rnacentral:rRNA from 1 species
UACGUAGGGUGCGAGCGUUGUCCGGAAUUAUUGGGCGUAAAGAGCUUGUAGGCGGUUUGUCGCGUCGGGAGUGAAAACUCAGGGCUUAACCCUGAGCCUGCUUCCGAUACGGGCAGACUAGAGGUAUGCAGGGGAGAACGGAAUUCCUGGUGUAGCGGUGAAAUGCGCAGAUAUCAGGAGGAACACCGGUGGCGAAGGCGGUUCUCUGGGCCUGUACUGACGCUGAGGAGCGAAAGCGUGGGGAGCGAACAGG